GAGAUGGGGUUUCGCCAUGUUGGUCAGGCUGGUUUUGAACUCCUAACGUCAGGUGCAGUGGCUCACACCUGUAAUCCCAGCAUGUUGGGAGGCUGAGGUGGGAGGACUGCUUGAGCCCAGGAGUUCAAAACCAGCCCGGGCAACAUAGCAAGAUCCCAUCUCAAUUAAAAAAAAAAUUUUUUUUAAAUAAAUAGAAGCUAUAGCAGCUAGGGAAAUCAGUAAGGAGACAUUUGAUGUCUACUACAAUCUCAAGAGCAAUCUCUAAAAGAUAUGAUUCUAAGAAUUAUUAUGGUACAAUGACAAAAAUGACAAUAAUUGUAUGAUAAAAGCAGUUCCAUUUUGGGAUGUUUUCUAUGUACCUAACCACUUUAUGUACAUUUUCUCAUUUAAUCCUUACAACAAUCUUACAAAUGUCAUCAUUUCUGUUUUACAAGUGCUGAAAUUUAGGCUUAGAAAAAUAAAAUGAUUUGACGAUUUGCUCAAGAUCAUACUAUUGAUAAAUGCCACAGCCAAGCUUUGAAAUCAGUUUGGCCUGACUUACUGUUAUGUACUAAACACUCUGGGGUGUUUAACAAAAAAAAAAAAAAAAAAAAGACUCUCCAUCUUAUUCCAGAAGUUGCUGUAAGUAACUUUGUUCUACUCAGGUUUGAGGAAGAUAACUGAGGUUAAGAUAAGCAGUCACUGAAAAGAAUGAAAAAUUACCACAUAGUAUUUAAACACACACACCUAACAUGGAAAUCUUUACAACUUGCUGCAAAUAACCUAUUUUAGAAUUACAAGACGCUUUCUUGUUUUCUUCUUGUUGCUGUUGUUAACCUUUAUUUUUUUCUUUGCUUUGCAACUGGAGCCUACUCAGAAUUGAUGGUCUUUAAGAGUUAUUCUUAGUUUAAUGAAGGAUGUUUAUUUUAAUUAAGAAAAAACAUAUUUAAGGAAGAAUCAGUAACGGUUUCUGACUUAGUUAACCAGAAACUGAACAAAGACCACAAUCAAUACAUGAAAUCUAGUUCUCUUGCCCCAGAACAAUAAGUACCAUUGUGGUCACAGCACUUUAAUGAAAUAAAUGCUAGAACUUAAUAUAGAAGAUAUCUAUUAAAAUCAUGGACAUGACAUAUGGGGACAUACUAAAAAGAUUCAGAGUUGAAUCCCAUAGAAGGUUAAGUGUGGAUAUGAGUGAACUAUUAACAAUAACUGCCAAGGUAAAAACAGACUUAUUCAACAAACUCUAAGCUAGAAGAACAAGGAAUACUUCAAAAACAAACAAACAAAAAAAGACAAUGAAAAGAAGUAUAGUAUAGCCCAUUAGGUAGUAAAUUUCUAUUGAUUCAUUACUCAAAU
rnacentral:lncRNA from 1 species